ACGGCCAGGACUACAGGGGUAUCUAAUCCCUUUCGCUCCCCUGGCUUUCGUCCAUGAGCGUCAGUAAUGGCCCAGCAGAGCGCCUUCGCCACUGGUGUUCUUCCCGAUAUCUACGCAUUUCACCGCUACACCGGGAAUUCCCUCUGCCCCUACCAUACUCAAGCCUUUCAGUUUCCACUGCCAUGAUGGAGUUAAGCUCCACGCUUUAACAGCAGACUUGAAAAGCCGCCUGCGGACGCUUUGCGCCAAUC
rnacentral:rRNA from 1 species